rnacentral:rRNA from 1 species
GAUGAACGCUGGCGGCGUGCCUAAUACAUGCCAGUCGAGCGAACGGACGAGAAGCUUGCUUCUCUGAUGUUAGCGGCGGACGGGUGAGUAACACGUGGAUAACCUACCUAUAAGACUGGGAUAACUUCGGGAAACCGGAGCUAAUACCGGAUAAUAUUUUGAACCGCAUGGUUCAAAAGUGAAAGACGGUCUUGCUGUCACUUAUAGAUGGAUCCGCGCUGCAUUAGCUAGUUGGUAAGGUAACGGCUUACCAAGGCAACGAUGCAUAGCCGACCAGAGAGGGUGAUCGGCCACACUGGAACUGAGACACGGUCCAGACUCCUACGGGAGGCAGCAGUAGGGAAUCUUCCGCAAUGGGCGAAAGCCUGACGGAGCAACGCCGCGUGAGUGAUGAAGGUCUUCGGAUCGUAAAACUCUGUUAUUAGGGAAGAACAUAUGUGUAAGUAACUGUGCACAUCUUGACGGUACCUAAUCAGAAAGCCACGGCUAACUACGUG